rnacentral:tRNA from 1 species
AGGCAAGUGUGGCCGAGUGGUUAAGGCGCUACGUUUAGGCCGUAGUGGGGAACCGCGCGAGUUCGAAUCUCGUCGCUUGCAA